AAUCAGUCACAGGACAUGCACACACAGAGGGCGGUCACUAUUGAACCUAGUGGAUUAUGCAACCGUAGCAAAUACAAAAGUAUGCAACAGCAGUAUUUAAGUCAUUAAAAUGAUAACGUGAAAUUAUCCAGUAAUACACGGUGUAUGAUUCUGUGUAACACGAACUUUCACUUUAGAUAUCUUAAAUAUAUUUUGAUGGUAAAACUUUUGUACUAUAAUCACUUUUACUUAUAUAAAGGGUCUUCACAAUGACUACUUCACCUGCAUUCUUACUAACGGCCAGCAGGGGGCAACUCUUGUGGUUGCAAAAGGUUCCAGUUGUAGUCAGCAUCUUUCAUGCUAACUCCAGGUGAGCGCAACAAUCUCCUAGCCACCAAAGCAAUAACAAAGAGGCUUUUGUGCACAGCAUCCUCUUUGCGACUGAUUUCACCUACUGUAGCAACAGCCAAGCGACCUCUGGGAACUACUCACCAACCACUCUGGGAAUACACAUUUUUCCUUGCAAACAGUGGCUAUAUCAUAUCCAACAUCAUCCGAGAUAAUACUGGUAUACAUUUUUUUACUGAUAUCACACACUCACUUCCUAUUUACAGAAAGUAUUGAAUAAAAUAUUGACUCCAUUUAGUAAGUUGACUUUUUCAGAAUAUACUAAUUGCUCAACACAAUCACAAGGCUUUAGCCAAUGAGCAUGUGGUUCACAGAGAGAGCCACUUCUUAUUAGUGUUGCGCAAUACUGCAGAUUUUAAGUAAAUACAGGGCCAGUAUCGCUGUUACCAAUACCAAUACUUUUAACUUAUAACAUCAACUUAUGUAGAGAAGAGUGGUGUGUCAUGACUUAUGAGAUGAAUCACUAUCAAUUUGCAAAUUCUGAAUACAUUUUAUUAACCACAGUAAUUAGAUAACACAACAAAACACACAUUUCAGCUUUUUGUGUAUCUUGAAACUGUGUUUUUUGGAGACCUGGAACGUAAUGCCUUUUUGCCCCACUAGUACCUACUGGGCUCAGCAUGGCUCAACUCAAUUCGGUUUUUAGGUGGUACUCAGUUGUAACUGAAAACAGCUGAAACUGAGUAGAGUUGAGUCAAAUUGGUACUAGUGGAAAAGAGGCACAAGUGUGCCUGUCUCAAAAAGACUUCUGUUGUUUAAAUGGGUUAUAGAGAAUAAAUAAAAUAGACAUAAAAGUCUGUUUUAUCCUUUCCCCCCAAAAAUCAUUUAAUACAGUUCAAUGGACUACAUAAUGAAUUUAGAUCAUAGAAACUAAGAAUCAAUUCUAUCGCACUAGUAUCGAUACCAAAACCGGUGCUGGUAUCGAUACUACCAAUAUCUGGAUAGACACCCCCCCCACCACCUCUCAAUUGUCACCUCUGGUUCCAAAAGACCAACAUGUCAACAGUAAUAAUGCUCAACUCAUUGUAACUACAUUAAUCUUUGAGUCUGUCUAAUUUAAACUCUCAUGCAGUGCCACUUUUCAUGUAACACAUCUGAUGUAGAAAAUAGGACCCCCCACCCACCCACCGACUUCCUAGUCUCCAAAUGUGGCACCCCAUUUUUUUAAUUGUAUAAACACCCCUGUAUGGUUUUAUGUGACUUUAAAUCUGCAUAAAAUCUGCUCCUCCCGCUUGUUAUAAGCAUGCAGAGGUGUAACAAAAGAUGGGUAAGGUCAGCAUAUGGUUGGUUAGGCUGACUCAAAAAAAUAUUUUAGUGAGGAUGUCAGGGCCCUGAGGAGGUAUGCGGGGGCCUAAAAACCUUAUGAGGCUCUGAAAAGUUCCCAGCUCCCGACUUCAACAUCGUCGAAAAAGCGGCAGUUUGCGGUCCAAAGCGCUCUCGCCGUCCCUGUCACCGUUUAUAAAGACAGACUGACGUGUUUCGCUAACGCAGCAAGAAAUCUAACGGCUCGCUGGCUCCAAUGAUGACGUAAUGGCUGAUAAACUGUCAGAGCCGUUAUAAAGUAAAGAUUUAGCUUAAUCUAUUAAGAACUACAAAAAACAUGCGAGAGGACAUACUCAAAAUGACUGCCGGCCGAUGAGUUUCGCAGCAGACUAAAGGAAUUUGCCCCAAAACGGAUCAACAAAAAACAUCAACCACUUACCCCUAAAAGGCAAACCUUGAGCUCCCUUAUAGCCAUGGUAAGUUUUGGAAAGUUUUUAAAUCAUCAUUUGUCAGUGUACACUCAAUGUAUUUGUUUCUUCAUGCUUGAAACUCUAUUAUUUUCCCCUCUUCUUGGAUAAAAUAGAAACCCAGCCCCUGAUACAGACAGACAUCUCCACUAAGCGGCUGACAAGGCGCAUAAAAUAAAUUUACAACAUCCGGGAGUGACUUUCAAAAUAAAGGCUUUGAUGGAUCCUUAGCCGCCUUUCCGUUGGUUGUGGCAGCAGCUGCAUCGGCGGUAGGAGCCACGGCAGCAACGGAGCGCUUGGUUUGCUCCUCGCCGCGGGCCUCCGGGCUCGGCUGCGUGGGUGGAGCCUGCUCGGCUGGCGGCUGGACGGUCA